rnacentral:rRNA from 1 species
UUGGCCUCAAAUCGGGUGAGACUACCCGCUGACUUAC